CAGCAGCCACGGGAAUACAGAGGGUGCGAGCGUUAAUCGGAUUUACUGGGCGUAAAGCGUGCGUAGGCGGCUUUUUAAGUCGGAUGUGAAAUCCCUGAGCUUAACUUAGGAAUUGCAUUCGAUACUGGGAAGCUAGAGUAUGGGAGAGGAUGGUAGAAUUCCAGGUGUAACGGUGAAAUGCGUAGAGAUCUGGAGGAAUACCGAUGGCGAAGGCAGCCAUCUGGCCUAAUACUGACGCUGAGGUACGAAAGCAUGGGGAGCAAACAGGAUUAGAUACCCGCGUAGUCCCUGUCUCUUAUAC
rnacentral:rRNA from 1 species